AGGUUGAUGGGUAAUGAACCACGUCCGCGCGCUAAGUUCUUGCGGCAGUAUUUUGGCAUACAUUCGCGGGAGAACAGCCUUGCAAAGUUUUGUCAGCAGAUAUUUAAUUUUAUGGCAUUUAUUUGAGGUACUUGGCAUGCGGUAGCUGCGUGUUAUUAGUACAACCAUCACAGUUUGUUGGCUGCACACUACUAGACAGUUUCCUAGCUAGCUAGACCGCUAACAACAUAACUGGCAAACUUUUUGCAAGAGGUCUGUCGUUUUGACCCAAAGUAUCUAAUAUGGCAACUAUGUGUCACUCAAGACGUGCCUUGAUGGAAAUCCCAGCUCCACAGCCGAAAAUUGCAGCUCGAAUGAGAAGGUCCUACCUGGAGGUUCUAAGUUCACGCAUAGCUCCAUUUUCAACCACUUCUAGAGGCAGAAACCUGACCAGCAACUCAAAACGUGGGCAUUCAUUGGACCCAGCCAUAUACAGAACAGGGAGUAGUCGGAGUGAGGCCCAAAGUGAGAGAAUGGAAGACGACCAGACACCCAUGUCCAACCAGCAGCUUGUGCAGCUCAUAAGAUCUUUCAUCCAAGUAGAACAGGGGCAGAGGCAGGAGCCCAGAGCCCUCACAGACCUGAAGCCUUUACAGGAGGACUUGCACCUGAAAAAGAUCAAUGUCUACAGAUCUAUACCCUACUCACGCCUGGGGUCCAACAGAGACGCGCACUGUUACAGAAAGGCAUAUCCACACCUGGUGGUGUUUAAAGUUUCCUGCCAGGAGUGGGGUCAGCUGCUGCUGCAGAACGAGGAGUGGGAGUCGGCUCUGGAGCACGCCCUAGUGGCGUGGAGGUACACCAGCGAGCUGCCACAGUGGGACACCAGCAGCCACAAUUUGGUGAGGGAACAGUGUUACAGCAUGCUGGCAGCACACUGCAUCACAGCUCUACAGCACUACUGCCCAGACCUCAGCAAAGCCAUAGAGCUGCACAGGAGAGAAACUGCACAUUGGUGUCAGUCUGGCAAAUUGAAAUAGGUUUGGACAUUUGACCAGCACAACUUUUUCCUAAUGGAAACACCGGGAGUAAAAUACACCUACAGUGGCAAGAAAAGUUGCGGAUCAGACCUGCACAACGGUCAGGAUGAAUUUUGGACCAUUCCUCUUUACAAAACUGUUUCAGUUCAGCAAUCUUCUUGAUGUCUGGUGUGAAGUGCUGUCUUGAGGUCAUGCCACAGCAUCUCAAUCGGGUUCUCAAUCGAGGUGAAGACUCUCCAAAAGCUGUAUUUUCUACUGUUGAAGCCAUUCUGUUGUUGAUUUACUUCUGUGUUUGUCCUGUUGCAUCACCCAACUUAUGUUGAGCUUCAAUUGGUGGACAGAGCCUAAAAUUUUCCUGCAAAAUGUCUUGAUAAAACUUGGGAAUUUAUUUUUUUUGUCGAUAAUGGCAAGCUGUCAGUCCCUGAGGCAGCUAGGCAGACCCAAACCAUGGCGCUCCCUCUACCAUACUUUACAGUUGGGAUGAGGUUUUGAUGUUGUUGUGCUGUGCCUUUUUUUUGUAAAAAAUGUUUACACAUAGUGUUGUGUGUUCCUUCCAAACAACCCAACUGUAGCUUCAUCUGUCCACAGAAUAUUUUGCCAGUAGCACUGUGGAACAUCCAGGUGCACUUUUGCAAACCUCAGACGUGCAGCAAUGAUUUUUUGGGGACAGCGGUAGCUUCUUCCGUGGUGUCCUCCCAUGAACACCAUUCUUGUUUUACAUAUUGUAGACAAAUCAACAGAUGGGAUAUUAGCAUGUUCCAGAGAUUUCUGUAAGUCUAGCUGAUUCUUCUUAACCUCACUGAGCAUUCUGCGCUGUGCUCUUGCAGUCAUAAUUGCAGGACGGUCACACCAAGUGAGAGUAGUAACAGUGCUGCACUUCAUUUAUAGACCAUUUGUGUUCCCGUGGACUGAUGAACAUCAUACCUUUGUAACCCUUUCCACCUUUAUGCAAGUCAACAAUCCUUAAUCUUAGGUAUUCUGAUAUCUCUUUUGUUUGAGGCAUGGUUCACGUCAGGCAAUGCUUCUUGUGAAUAGCAAACUCAAAUUGUGUGUUUUUAUAGGGCAAGGCAGCUCUAACCAACAUCUCCAAUCGUCUCAUUGAUUGGACUCCAGGUUAGCCAACUCCUGACAACAAUUUGCUUUUGGAAAAGUCAUUAGCCUAGGGGUUCACACACUUUUUCUAACCUACACUGUGAAUGUUUAAAUGAUGUAUUCAAUAUAGACAAGAAAUACAAUGUGUAUAUUAGUUUAAGCACACUGUCUAUUGUUGUGACUUAAAUGAAGAUUAAAUCAAAUUUGAUGACCAAUUCCAAAGGGUUUGUAUACUUUUGCUUGCCAACUGUGAAGAGAUCUGUGGGAAUACUGCUCCUUUCAACUCUUCUUUUCUAUAACUA